rnacentral:rRNA from 1 species
UACGGAGGGUGCAAGCGUUAAUCGGAAUUACUGGGCGUAAAGCGCACGUAGGUGGUUUGCUAAGUCAGCUGUGAAAUCCCCGGGCUCAACCUGGGCACUGCAGUUGAAACUGGCAAGCUAGAGUAGGGUAGAGGGGUGUGGAAUUCCAGGUGUAGCGGUGAAAUGCGUAGAUAUCAGGAAGAACAUCGGUGGCGAAGGCGCUCUGCUGGACCAUAACUGACACUCAGGGACGAAAGCUAGGGGAGCGAAUGGG